UACACGACCGUACCGCAAACCGACACUGGUGCGCGAGAUGAGUAUUCUAAGGCGCUUGAGAGAACUCAGGAGAAGGAACUCGGCAAAUUGACACCGUAACUUCGGAAGAAGGUGUGCCUUUAGUAGGUGAAGUCCCUCGCGGAUGGAGCCCAAUGAGGUUGCAAUAAAUCGGUGGCUGCGACUGUUUAUUAAAAACACAGCACUCUGCAAACACGAAAGUGGACGUAUAGGGUGUGACGCCUGCCCGGUGCUGGAAGAUUAAAUGAUGGGGUGCAAGCUCUUGAUUGAAGUCCCAGUAAACGGCGGCCGUAACGAUAACGGUCCUAAGGUAGCGAAGUUCCUUGUCGGGUAAGUUCCGACCUGCACGAAUGGCGUAACGAUGGCCACACUGUCUCCUCCUGAGACUCAGCGAAGUUGAAAUGUUUGUGAUGAUGCAAUCUCCCCGCGGAAAGACGGAAAGACCCCAUGAACCUUUACUGUAGCUUUGUAUUGGACUUUGAACGGAUCUGUGUAGGAUAGGUGGGAGGCUUUGAAGCAGGGUCGCUAGAUCUUGUGGAGCCAACGUUGAAAUACCACCCUGGUGUGUUUGAGGUUCUAACCUAGGCCCGUAAUCCGGGUUGGGGACAGUGCAUGGUAGGCAGUUUGACUGGGGCGGUCUCCUCCCAAAGUGUAACGGAGGAGUUCGAAGGUACGCUAGUUACGGUCGGACAUCGUGACGAUAGUGCAAUGGCAUAAGCGUGCUUAACUGCGAGACUGACAAGUCGAGCAGAUGCGAAAGCAGGACAUAGUGAUCCGGUGGUUCUGUAUGGAAGGGCCAUCGCUCAACGGAUAAAAGGUACUCUGGGGAUAACAGGCUGAUACCGCCCAAGAGUUCAUAUCGACGGCGGUGUUUGGCACCUCGAUGUCGGCUCAUCUCAUCCUGGGGCUGUAGCCGGUCCCAAGGGUAUGGCUGUUCGCCAUUUAAAGAGGUACGUGAGCUGGGUUUAAAACGUCGUGAGACAGUUUGGUCCCUAUCUUCCGUGGGCGCUGCAGAUUUGAGGAAGCCUGCUCCUAGUACGAGAGGACCGGAGUGGACGCACCUCUGGUGUAUCGGUUGUCACGCCAGUGGCAUUGCCGAGUAGCUAUGUGCGGAAGAGAUAACCGCUGAAGGCAUCUAAGCGGGAAACUCGUUUCAAGAUGAGAUCUGCCGGGGCCUUGAGCCCCCUGAAGAGUCGUUCAAGACCAGGACGUUGAUAGGUCGGGUGUGGAAGCGCAGUAAUGCGUUAAGCUAACCGAUACUAAUUGCUCGUGCGGCUUGACCCA
rnacentral:rRNA from 1 species